rnacentral:rRNA from 1 species
ACUCAAAGGAAUUGACGGGGGCCCGCACAAGCGGCGGAGCGUGUGGUUUAAUUCGAUGCAACGCGAAGAACCUUACCUGGGCUUGACAUGCUAGUGGUACGGAUCUGAAAGGUGAAGGACCCUUCGGGGAGCUAGCACAGGUGCUGCAUGGCUGUCGUCAGCUCGUGCCGUGAGGUGUUGGGUUAAGUCCCGCAACGAGCGCAACCCUCGCCGUUAGUUGGAUUUUUCUAGCGGGACCGCUGGGAUAAACCCAGAGGAAGGUGGGGAUGACGUCAAGUCAGCAUGGCCCUUACGCCCAGGGCUACACACACGCUACAAUGGCCGGUACAAUGGGCUGCCAAGGCGCGAGCCGGAGCUAAUCCCUCAAAGCCGGCCCCAGUUCAGAUUGCAGGCUGCAACUCGCCUGCAUGAAGGCGGAGUCGCUAGUAACCGCAGGUCAGCUACACUGCGGUGAAUACGUUCCCGGGCCUUGUACACACCGCCCGU